rnacentral:rRNA from 1 species
AUUGAACGCUGGCGGCAUGCCUUACACAUGCAAGUCGAACGGUAACGCGGGGCAACCUGGCGACGAGUGGCGAACGGGUGAGUAAAGCAUCGGAACGUGCCCAGUAGUGGGGGAUAGCCCGGCGAAAGCCGGAUUAAUACCGCAUACGACCUACGGGUGAAAGAGGGGGAUCGCAAGACCUCUCGCUAUUGGAGCGGCCGAUGUCAGAUUAGGUAGUUGGUGGGGUAAAGGCCUACCAAGCCUGCGAUCUGUAGCUGGUCUGAGAGGACGACCAGCCACACUGGGACUGAGACACGGCCCAGACUCCUACGGGAGGCAGCAGUGGGGAAUUUUGGACAAUGGGCGCAAGCCUGAUCCAGCCAUGCCGCGUGCGGGAAGAAGGCCUUCGGGUUGUAAACCGCUUUUGUCAGGGAAGAAAAGCCUUGGGUUAAUACCCUGGGGUGAUGACGGUACCUGAAGAAUAAGCACCGGCUAACUACGUGCCAGCAGCCGCCGCGG